ensembl:lncRNA GTF3C2-AS1 GTF3C2 antisense RNA 1
CCCUGAAAUACUGUAUGAAGUUGCUGGAAAAACUCCAUCCACUACACUCCAACCUUCGUUCCUUCAACUCUAAGAAUUCCCAGGGCCUCUUUGUCCUGGCUUUGAGUCCUAGGGCCAUCCCACAGUUGACUGGGAAGUACCUUCCGAGGGGUGCCUGGAAGUUCCCAUGCUCCACUGGGGCAGAACUUGAGGUCCCAGAUGCAGCCGUUGUCACAAGCAAUCCCAUAGACAAAGUGGGCCCUGUUGCCAGGACUGGAGAGAGAGAGCAUGUGGGGAUGGUGGGUAGGAAGAAGGGACGCAGGGCUGCCAGAGGUCCCAAGGCCCCAGAGCUGGAGCAGCCCAGGACCCGAAUGAAGCUGGCUCAGUGGGUGUGUCUCAUUCAUGUCAGGGCUGGAGAAAAGAGCCACAUAUUGCGAGGCUCCUGCCCCCUCUGGCACUGGGCACCAGUCCAGAGCCCAGAGCGGUCCCCCCGUGAAGAAGGACACAUCCCAGCGCUCUGGAUGUGCUGUGAUCGAGCUAAAUCUAGAGAAAAAUCAAAGAUGGGAUGAAGAAAGGAAUUAAUGAAAGAAUCAGAAAAAAGGGCGGAUGUGCAAUCUUCACCUGUUUAUUCGGUAGAGGGUGCCAUCUUCAGGUAGCCCUUCACGUUGUACAGAAAACAAUGGAGACUUCUCCUCCUGGGGCAGUGGUGUCA